CUGGAAUGAUGUGCCUUAGCCAAAUCAGACAUUGUUGUGCUCCAAAAGGUAGCGUCUAAAGCACGCUUGCCAAAUGUCAACUGGAUGCUUUUAUUUUUAAUCUUGUCCAGU